rnacentral:rRNA from 1 species
GUGAGGAAUUUUCCGCAAUGGGCGAAAGCCUGACGGAGCAAUGCCGCGUGAAGGAUGAAGGCCUAUGGGUUGUAAACUUCUUUUCUCAGAAAAGAAUUAUGACGGUAUCUGAGGAAUAAGCAUCGGCUAACUCUGUGCCAGCAGCCGCGGUAAGACAGAGGAUGCAAGCGUUAUCCGGAAUGAUUGGGCGUAAAGCGUCUGUAGGUUGUUUAAAAAGUAUUCUGUCAAAGAUUAGGGCUUAACCCUAGAUAGGCAGAAUAAACUUUUAAGCUAGAGUUUGGUAGAGGCAGAGGGAAUUCCCGGUGGAGCAGUGAAAUGCGUAGAUAUCGGGAGGAACACCAAAGGCGAAGGCACUCUGCUGGGCCAAUACUAACACUGAGAGACGAAAGCGAGGGGAGCAAAUGGGAUUAGAAACCCUAGUAGUCC